rnacentral:rRNA from 1 species
AGGCAGCAGCGUUGAAUCGAACACAAUCGCAUAAUGUCUGAUGGAGCAAUGCCGCGUGAGUGAAGAAGGUUUUCGGAUCGUAAGACUGUGUUGUGAGGGAAGAACAAGUACGAGAGUAACUCCUUCAACUUUGACGGUACCUCAUUAGAAAGCCACAGCGCCCAACGUGCCAGCAGCCGAGGUACAGGGUAUGUGGUCAGGGUCGUUCGGAAUUAUUUCGCUUAAAAGGGUCACUGUCGGUCCAGAAAGUCGCAUUUGAAAUCCCACGGCUCCACCGUGUAAGGUCAUUUGAACCUGGCAGCAGGAAGUACAGUAGAGGAAAGCGGAAUCCCAAGUGUAGCGGUGAAUUGCGUAGAGAUUUGGAGGAACACCAGAUUUCACGGAGGACGUCUGGCCUGUAAUAGGAGCUGAGGCGGGACAGUAAGGGGAGCAA